GGGACGAUGGCGCAGUUGGGAGCGCGUUCGACUGAAGUUCACUUCAUCAUAUAAGCCCUUACAGGUUAAUCGAGAGGUCGUCGGUUCAAACCCGGCUCGUCCCA
rnacentral:tRNA from 1 species